rnacentral:lncRNA from 1 species
AAGAAUAGAGCACGAGGCUCUGAUACCAAUUGAAAAGGAUCGAGAUGGACCUAGAGGGGGGUGAAUAGGUACAGUUCCAAAUUUUAAUAAUUACUUAGCAAUUUUAGGCAAAAGUGCGGAAUAUGAGUGUAGGCCUAAUAAUUGCUAUGACAAGGAGUAAGCUAUUUAGAGUGAAGUAAGGCAAGCGGUAAACAAUGAUCAAAUACAAGUACGUAAUAAGGAUUAACACAAGUAGAUAGUUAGGGUUAGGAAUAACCGAAACUCCAAGAGAGACGAGGAUGUAUCCCGAUGUUCACUUCCGUGGAGGGAAGCUACGUCACCGUUAUUAGGGCGGAUGUUAUCAUGAAGGCACACCAACGCCAC